UAUCUGGUUGAUCCUGCCAGUAGUCAUAUGCUUGUCUCAAAGAUUAAGCCAUGCAUGUCUAAGUACAAACCUUAAUACGGUGAAACCGCGAAUGGCUCAUUAAAUCAGCUAUGGUUCCUUAGAUCGUCUCAUCCUACUCGGAUAACUGUGGAAAAUCUAGAGCUAAUACGUGCUUACAAGCCCUGACCUCACGGGAGGGCGCAUUUAUUAGAUCAAAACCAAUCGGGGCUUGCCCCGUCUGCUUGGUGACUCUGGAUAACUUUUGUGCUGAUCGCAUGGCCUCUGCGCUGGCGACGUAUCUUUCAAGUGUCUGCCCUAUCAACUUACGAUGGUAGGUGAUAUGCCUACCAUGGUUAUAACGGGUAACGGGGAAUCAGGGUUCGAUUCCGGAGAGGGAGCCUGAGAAACGGCUACCACAUCUAAGGAAGGCAGCAGGCGCGCCAAAUUACCCCACUCCCGGCACGGGGGAGGUAGUGACGAAAAAUAACGAUACGGGACUCUUUGAGGCCCCGUAAUUUGGAAUGAGUACACUUUAAAUCCGUUAACAAGUAUCUAUUGGAGGGCAAGUCUCUGGUGCCAGCCAGCCGCGGUAAUUCCAGCUCCAAUAGCGUAUAUUAAUGUUGCUGCAGUUAAAAAGCUCGUAGUUGGAUCUGAGGACUCGAAAUUGGUGGUGCACCAUACGGUGUUACUGCCGAUUCGGCCCUACCUA
rnacentral:ncRNA from 1 species